rnacentral:rRNA from 1 species
AGAUUGAACGCUGGCGGCAGGCCUAACACAUGCAAGUCGAGCGGCAGCACGGGUACUUGUACCUGGUGGCGAGCGGCGGACGGGUGAGUAAUGCCUAGGAAUCUGCCUGAUAGUGGGGGAUAACGUUCGGAAACGGACGCUAAUACCGCAUACGUCCUACGGGAGAAAGUGGGGGAUCUUCGGACCUCACGCUAUCAGAUGAGCCUAGGUCGGAUUAGCUAGUUGGUAGGUAAAGGCCUACCAAGGCUACGAUCCGUAACUGGUCUGAGAGGAUGGAUCAGUCACACUGGAACUGAGACACGGUCCAGGACUCCGUA